GUGCCAAAUACAUCUAAGGCAAUCUAUGCCUGGGAUAAGAAAAUCCUUAGUUUUUCGAAAAAUUCAAAGUUUUGUAAACAGGAAAUUUAUAAAAAUGACCACAUUAUUGAUAUUCAUGUCAACACCGAAGUGUUGACUACUGGGCUGGUGAUACCCUCGGGGACGUAACGUCCACCAGCAGUGGCAUCGACCCAGUGGUGUAAAUAGUUA
rnacentral:lncRNA from 1 species